CCCCCCGAGGCCGCCCUCGGGGCGGGACCUCCCGGGGCUGGUGGGGCAGUGACUCGUACCCUGCCGCCGCCAGGCCGCGGGCGGGCACCGGGCCUGCGCGGGCUGGGCCCGCUACUUGGGCACUAAGCGCCCGACCUCGCCCCUCCCUCCGAUCUGCAGAAAUUAAACCAAAACCGGGGCUCGGCUGCAGGGGCUCAGCUUCCUCCCGCGCAGGGCCCGGCUUCGUGCAUCAAACAAUGGCUUUAGGUUCCUAGAGUCGAAGCUGGGGUCUAUGCUUAAUCUGAAGGUCUCGGAAUCGGGGUCCCGGAGACUCGGGGAAGCCCUGAGGGCGUCCAAUUUUGCAGCUAGAAUGAAGCACAUCAACUUGUCGUUUGCAGCGUGUGGAUUUCUGGGCAUUUACCACUUGGGGGCAGCAUCUGCACUAUGCAGGCAUGGCAAAAAGCUCCUGAAGGAUGUCAAGGCCUUUGCCGGCGCCUCUGCGGGAUCCUUGGUUGCUUCUGUCCUGCUAACAGCACCAGAAAAAAUAGAGGAAUGUAAUGAAUUCACCUACAAGUUUGCUGAAGAAGUCCGAAGACAGUCUUUCGGGGCAGUAACACCCGGCUAUGAUUUCAUGGCCCGAUUGAGAGGUGGAAUGGAGUCGAUUCUCCCCCACAACGCUCACGAGCUGGCCCACAACCGACUGCACGUAUCCAUCACCAACACCAAGACCAGAGAAAAUUACUUAGUCUCAAGUUUUUCCUCCAGGGAAGACCUCAUUAAGGUUCUCUUAGCCAGCAGCUUCGUGCCUAUUUACGCGGGACUGAAUCCAGUGGAAUACAGAGGGCAGAAGUGGGUGGAUGGAGGCCUCACCAAUAGCCUUCCCAUCCUGCCUGUAGGCCGGACAGUGACCAUCUCACCCUUCAGUGGACGAUUGGACAUCUCCCCGCAGGACAAAGGGCAGCUGGAUCUGUAUGUUACUAUCGCCAAUCAGGAUAUAAUGGUUUGUAUCUCACACCCGAUUAACCCAUGCUGUGAGGAAGAGAAAGCAGAAGGUUGAGUUGGAGACGGGAUCAUACCUAAGCAAAACCUGCCAAAGGCUCAACACCUCUCAGUGUCCGAAUCUUCCCUGUAGAAGAUGGGGGCAACAUGAGUGCCUACAACACGUGGUUGUCAUACAGGUGGAAAGAAUUCAUGCAUUUUAAGCAUUUAACACACGGCCCAGCAGUCAGAAAAGACUGAAUCUGUUUUUUCCAUUUAAUACUUAAAGAGCACACACAAACUGAACAGAAAAAAGGUAAAGAUUUUUAGCUAUGGAAUAUUGCAUAAAAAUAACGUAAGACGUUUCCAGAGAUUAAAACAGUUAAUUGGUUUUGUUUUCACAUCAUAAAUUGCAAGAGCUAUGUUUUGUGUAAAGAGAUUUUCUGGCACCAAACCUCUAUUAAAUUUUAUUGAGUGACCUUUGAUGAAAUAAUAGAGCUAUGUUGCUUUGUAAACAUUAACUUUCUGAGUUAACAGUUGGGUUUGUAAUCCAAAGGUACAAAUGAAAUUUAAAAUAAAACAAUGAUUAGGCAUUACUAUUUUAAAUAAGGCAAGUCUGUUAGUAUUCAUGCCUGGCUAGCUGUUUGAGAGAUUGGUAGUAGACUGAUAGACAUACAAACCAUGUACAGAUAUUAAUUGCAUAAUUAAUUAAUUUCACUCGACAUGAUUUUCACCUGAAUCUAUUAUCUCCAAAAUGUGUGUUCACCUUCUAGUAUCACAGGAAAUCAUGCUUCUUAAUUGCCAUAUUAAAGUGACUGGUAAAUAGUGAUUUUUUUGUAGGAAUGUUAUAUUGGACAAGCCUGUUGAAAUAAUUAAAAGAAUGUAGGAUUGCCAAUGAAAUAUUACAGCAGAAAGCAAACAGACCUGGAGAGAAAAGAAAUAUAUGAUGGUGAAGAUGGAGAACACUGAACAAAGAUAAGAGCGAUUGGAAAUAAAAGAUGAAAUACUGUGAACUUAUUCAGAUAGAAGCCCCGGAUGUGAGUCAUCACGCCAUAGUCAACUUGAAGAAAGCUGGUGUGGGAAAUAGGAGUUUUGCCUGUGAGCUCUCAACACUUGCUCAGCUUUCUCCUUUCUUUCUCUUCUGCAUGAAGACCACAAAAGUAAGCUUUCUUUAAACCUGGCCUUGACCCAGAGUCUCUCGAUGGGGCUGAAGCCAACUGCUUCCUGGAAAAUGAUGAAGCCCCCCAGUCCUUGGGACAGACACGCUUUGCAGCACCAAAGGCACCAAAAGGUUGAAUUUUUCGAAUACAGAAAAGAGCAGAUGCUUCAAAAAUUCUCUCCUCUGGGCUUAUUCUGAAGGAUCUAUGUGGCACGGUGCUGGACUCACAUGAAGACAGCAAGGGGAAAAAUCAUGGUGCAAUAUUCUCUACUAGAUGUGAUUUCCAUGGUGGAACAAAAGUGUCUGUGGGUCAUCUGGUGACCAGCUGGCCUAGACUGCACUUCCCUUUGCAUGACUCUAUAUAUUUCACACAGUCUUUGGAUGGGCCGUGUAGCUGGGCCACUUUCUUCUUACAACUAUGGCAGAAGCUGAAGCAGGCUCACCUCAUCAUACAAACAUGUCACAAGCCUCUCCUAUUGGCCAAGACAAGUGACAUGACCAAGCCCAAGGACAGAGCUCCUUGAAGCCGAGAAUUGGGUCUUCCAUGUCUGUCUGUGGGCAGAGGCUGACGUGCUACACGUUUAGUACAAGUCUGUAGAAGGAGUGUACCUAUCACAUUGCUCACUUGUCUGCAUGAUGGAGAAGUAUAUUUCCUCUUUUUUUCCAUCCCUCAAUAUUCUAGAAAAGCUGGUAAAUGAAUAUUCUUUUAUAAUGAUGAAAUAAUUUUACCUCCUACACUGUCAUUUAUAAAUUUCUUCUCAAACCAAUUUUGAGAUUUAUCAUUUAUACUUACCUGUUCUAUUAGCAUGAUCUCAGAGAAGUAAAGUUAAGGUUGAUCUUUUUUUAGAUCUCUUGAUCCAAAUUAUUAUAAUGGUGGGUGGCAUCAGCAUGAAGGUCCAUUUCUCUAUAGUAGGCAUUUCUAUCCCCACAAAAGGAGAUAAAUUCAAAGGGCGUUUCAUUUCUGAGUAGCCUUUUGACUUACAAGUUCAGUCUUCAAAGGGUGCUGUGAGCGAGACUGCUGAGGACCAAUGCUGCCUGAAGAUGCCCGGCACCCCUUAGCGCUUACCCCAAACUGAGCAAGCCUUGUGUGGUGGAAACGCGACCAAGGUCAGAUUUUAAUUUAGCAGUGAACAUUGGCACUGGCCAAUGCCCACAAUAUUUUGAAGAAAUCAAGUCAUUUUGAACAAAUUGGGGGCAAUGUAUCUGAUGGAAAUCAGACUGGAUCAAAGUGGACACUAAUUUACCAUUACAUCCCCUUGUUCCUGUUUUCUUUGGUUUUCAACAGAGAUUGUUUCUCUUCCUCUUCCUCCUCCUCCUUAUUCUUAUUCUUGUUUUCUUUAGGGGGGAGCUCUACAUGUUUGUAUCACUGCUACAGAACAUUUACAUUCAUUCUUUCGUACUUAGAUAGGAGUUAUAAAAGGAACUGGACAAGGAUGUGAAUUCAACAGUUACUAUUAAUGGAUGUAGACACAAAUAAAGGCAUUUGAAGACAGAACACUGAAACCUCUCUAAUUAUAUCUGGUCUAUGCUUAUAACAAUAUUCAUUUUAUAUAUAUUCCAAGUUGAAAAGAGCGUUAUAAAUAAAAAGUAUUACAAUAGUCUCCCCAAUCAUUUUGUUAUAAAACCAAAAUGUUAAUUGGGUUUAUGUGUGGGUUUUUUGGCUUUCUUAUCUUGGAAUUGACCAUCUCUGGUAUUUUCUUUCAGUUCUAUGCCUCUAACAUUCUGAGCAAUUAAAAAAAAAUGAUUGUGAGAGCAAACUAAAAGAAAAGGAAUAUUUUCUGAAGUAGAAAAUUGUUUUGUCUAUAAAAGAGCAAUCGCUUACUUAAUCCCUAUAUGUCAAGCCAUGAUCAGAGAAGUAAAAGGGCCCAGGAGAAGCAUUUGUGGUAUUCAAAAAAUGAAGAAUUUAGACAUGACAAGGAAUCAAUAAACUUGUUGGUGCUGUGGAGAAAGAAGAGAUGUUAAGAUGUGAAUACGAAUAACAUUGAGCAUUCCUUCAACAAGAGUUCGCAAAAUGUAUUGGGCACGGGCAGUACUGUGCAAAAACCCGCGUGGGUAAGCAAAAAGGAAGGAAGAUGUCAUUGUUGAGAGGCAGAAACUUACAAUCUAGAUGACCCUCGCUUUUCUAGAAUCUUUCCCAUCCAUGACCCUUUUGUAGCUGGAUAGUGCCUGGAAGGAUAUAGGGAAAUAAUUUAUAGCUUUGCUUAAAUUAUUAAUUCAACGUACCCCAGGGAAGCUAAUGUUCAUGACAAAGUUUAAGAGCAAAUUAUUGGGAGGCUGGAUCCAGACUCAAUUUCAAUAUGGUGGUGUAGAAAGCGCUGGGGCUUUGUUGAUUUGCCAGAAUCUGUUUGAACCAAGUAUCAGCCCCACUGCACGGCUAACCAUUUGACCUUCAGCAAGUUACAUCUCUGAAACCAAAUCCUUCAUCUAGAACGGAGAUAUUGUAACACAUGGAUUAUUAUGGGAAUUAAAUGAAACAAUGAAGAUUUAUGGCUAUGUCCACUUUCAAGACAGUCAAAUACAAUACAGCAUAGAAAGUGCUUGCACAAAUGUUGACAAACUAUGGCCUGUGAACCAAAUUAAUCACACUUACCACCUGUUUUAACAAAAUGUGGGCAUAUUUACAAAUACCGUUUUAUUGGGACACAGCCACAUCCAUUGGUUCAUGUAUUGUUUAUAGCACUUUCACACCACAACAGAGUCAAGUAGUUACAUCAACAGAAACUAUAUAACCCACAGAGGCAUCAUAAGGUAUUUUAUAUUUUUGAGGGAAACACAGAAAUACUUGAUCUCUGUCAGAUGCCAGCAAACUCCUUGCUGGCGGUUGUUCCGAGUUUCAACAUUGAGUCAUGCUACCUUCCUUUCAGUGGUGUCAGAGCUUUGCAAAGCUGAGCACUGGGCGCUUGCUGUGUGAAAAAUCAACUUGGAACAAGACACGACGGUGGGCGAGUGCAAUCUGAUUCCAAGGGUUAUGAAGUCAUGCAGUGCCCAACAGGCAUACACAUCCUUUUAGUAAGUAGUCACGGUCAUUAAAGAAUGAAAUAUGGCCAGCCCCAGUGGCCUAGUGGUUGAGUGUGGCAUGCUCUGCUUCAGUGGCCUGGGUUCA